CCCUUAGAUGUUCUGGGCCACACGCGCGUUACACUGAUGAAGCCAGCGAGUAUAUCGCCUUCACCGGAAGGUGCGGGUAAUCUUGUGAAACUUCAUCGUGCUGGGGAUAGACCAUUGCAAUUAUUGGUCUUGAACGAGGAAUUCCUAGUAAGCAUGAGUCAUCAACUCGUGCUGAUUACGUCCCUGCCCUUUGUACACACCGCCCGUCGCUACUACCGAUUGAAUGGUUUAGUGAGAUCUCGGGAUUGGAGACGUUGCGCCGCAAGGCACAUCGUCCUCGAGAACUUGAUCAAACUUGAUCAUUUAGAGGAAGUAAAAGUCGUAACA
rnacentral:rRNA from 1 species